AUGAGCCACUGUGCCCGGCCCACUGCUUUCUAAUACAAAAUCUCAGAUGGAGGCACUGGGGACCCAGACACUUCUCACAGUGGGUGUGGAGGUCAGGCUGAACACUGGAAGACCAGCUGAGACACUGCAGGAGAAGCGCUUGGAUCCUCAAAUGCCAUUCCCCAGUUUGAACUGAAUGUCUGUGCUCCCUCCCCAGUAGAAGACUAGAGGAGUAGUUCUCAAAGAGAUGGAGUCUCACUAUAUUGCCUGUACUGGUCUCAAACUCUUGGCCUCAAGCAAUCCUCCCGCCUCAGCCUCCCUAACUGCUGGGAUUACAGGCAUGAGCCCCUGCACCCAACCCCAGCAUUUCCAUACCUAUGUACUGAUUAAAGAGACCCUCAGCCACUUCCCCCAGUAGGGUCAUAGAACCUUAGACACCUACCCAUAAGGUGGGAGAUUGAAAGAUUCUCUUCCAAGGAAUCUGAUAAGCCUAAAGAAAAAAAGCAUGUCCUGUGUAUUGGUAGUUGAGGUCCCUCCCAGUGAAGGGGGCCAGUACCCCAGCUGAGCUUCUUCCCCCUGGACAAUGGAACCAUCUGGGAAGCUUUUAAAUAUAUGAAUGUCAGGGAUCCAGCCAAUUCAACCACAUGCUCCAGGGGCAGGGCCCUGGCAUUUGUGUUGGUUUUAAAGCCUCCUUGGUGAUAAAAGCAUGCUGCCAGGGCGGGCUUGGAACCACUCCUUUGUGGGAAAGAUCACCAGCCAAUAAGUCACAGCCACAUAGACCGGAGGACUUCUGAGUGCUUCAUUCCCAAGCAUGAGUCUAUAGUCAAAUAUCACCUCAUAUUGAGGAAGCUCUACUGUGAAAGUCAGAGACCAAAAUAAACAGAAGAAAGGAAGAGCUUAAAGGAAACAAUGCAAGGAGCAGAAGAAACCUUCAAGUGAGAUCUUCAGAGAUUUUCUUUAAAAAAAGGAUAGUACAUCUAUGAAGCAAGAACAGGCAAUUACAAAAGGACAUUCAGAGAACAAGAAAACAAGUUAAACAUUUUGUAACAAAUAAAAUCUUCAAUGGAAGUUUUGGAAGCUAAGUUGUGGAACUCUCCCUUAUUUAUUUAUUUAUUUAUUUAUUUAUUUAUUUAUUUAUUUAUUAUUUUUUUGUUUUAAAUAGAGACAGGGUUUCGCCGUGUUGCCCAGGCUGGUCUCAAACUCCUGGGCUUAAGCGAUCCUCCCACCUCAGCCUCCCACAGUGUUAGGAUUACAGGCAUGAGCCACCGUGCCCAGCCAGAGGUCUCCUUUCAAGCAGAACAGACAAAGGGAGAGAGAUGGAAAUUGGAGAGCAGGUUUCCAAUGAUGGGGCCUGGGGCAGUGGAAAGGGG
rnacentral:lncRNA from 1 species